rnacentral:rRNA from 1 species
AACGAACGCUGGCGGCGUGUUUAAGACAUGCAAGUCGCACGGGACUGAUUUUAUAGCAAUAUACGGUCAGUCCAGUGGCGCACGGGUGAGUAACACGUGAAUUACAUGCCCUUCAGUGGGGAAUAGCCCAGGGAAACUUGGAUUAAUACCCCGUGGCAUCGCAAGAUUAAAGGUGGCCGCAAGGCUGUCGCUGAAGGAUUGGUUCGCGCCCUAUCAGCUUGUUGGUGAGGUAACGGCUCACCAAGGCUACGACGGGUACCUGGUCUGAGAGGACGAUCAGGCACACUGGAACUGAGACACGGUCCAGACACCUACGGGUGGCAGCAGUCGAGAAUAAUUCACAAUGGGGGCAACCCUGAUGGUGCAACGCCGCGUGGAGGAUGACGGUCUUCGGAUUGUAAACUCCUGUCAUCCGGGAGUAAGACCUGGCUGUGAAUAGCAGACAGGGUUGAUAGUACCGGAAGAGGAAGGGACGGCUAACUUCGUGCCAGCAGCCGCGGUAAAAC